rnacentral:rRNA from 1 species
CCUACGGGGAGCAGCAGUGAGGAAUAUUGGUCAAUGGACGAGAGUCUGAACCAGCCAAGUAGCGUGAAGGAUGACUGCCCUAUGGGUUGUAAACUUCUUUUAUCAAGGAAUAAAACGAGGCACGUGUGCCUUUUUGCAUGUACUUUAUGAAUAAGGAUCGGCUAACUCCGUGCCAGCCGCCGCGGUAAUACGGAGGAUCCGAGCGUUAUACGGAUUUAUUGGGUUUAAAGGGAGCGUAGAUGGGUUGUUAAGUCAGUUGUGAAAGUUUGCGGCUCAACCGUAAAAUUGCAAUUGAUACUGGCAGUCUUGAGUACAGUUGAGGUAGGCGGAAUUCGUGGUGUAGCGGUGAAAUGCUUAGAUAUCACGAAGAACCCCGAUUGCGAAGGCAGCUUACUAAACUGUGACUGACAUUGAUGCUCGAAAGUGUGGGUAUCAAACAGGAUUAGAUACCCCAGUAGUC